rnacentral:rRNA from 1 species
UACGUAGGGGCCUAGCGUUGUCCGGAUUUAUUGGGCGUAAAGAGCUCGUAGGCGGUUUGGUAAGUCGGGUGUGAAAUCUCCACGCUCAACGUGGAGGGGCCACCCGAUACUGCCAUGACUCGAGUCCGGUAGGGGAGUGUGGAAUUCCCGGUGUAGCGGUGGAAAUGCGCAGAUAUCGGGAGGAACACCAGUAGCGGAAGGCGGCCCUCUGGCUCGACCCUGACGCUGAGGCGGCGAAAGCGGUGGGGAGCGAACGGG